UACAGAGGGGGCAAGCGUUAUUCGGAAUUACUGGGCGUAAAGGGCUCGUAGGCGGCCAACUAAGUCAUACGUGAAAUCCCUCGGCUUAACCGGGGAACUGCGUCUGAUACUGGAUGGCUUGAGUUCGGGAGAGGGAUGCGGAAUUCCAGGUGUAGCGGUGAAAUGCGUAGAUAUCAGGAGGAACACCGGUGGCGAAGGCGGGUCUCUGGGCAACAACUGACGCUGAGGAGCGAAAGCGUGGGGAGCGAACAGG
rnacentral:rRNA from 1 species